AUGUCAGUGAUGCAGAGCGCACCUUAGUUGAGAAGUUGGCUUCACUUAGAGCAACAUCGAAGCAGUAUUCAGUCUCAUCUGGUGGUGAUAGUAAAGGCGCUGCACGUUUGUGGAAACCGAUCAAAGACUUUCUGAGGAUGGGGCGAUCUGGUAGAAGAUUUGCAUCAAUUGGCACGGACACAACAGCUUUUUGGAGUUUGAACAGACCAUUACCUAGUUUUCCUCUAAUGACAUCACUUUUUGCUGUUUUAUUUGGAACAUGUAUUUUUGCAUUGGUUAAAGUUUGUUGUUAUAAAAUUUUGCAGCCAAAACGAUCAGUGAAACCAAAAUUCCUUCUUCACAGGGAAAUUAAAGAGCAAUAGUUGUGUUUUGUUGUAAAAUUUUGCAGUUGAAACCAAAAAAAUUUCUACACAGGGAAAUUAAAGAGCAAUAGUUGUGAUAUA